UCGCCGCUCACUGCUGUUCACCCGGUGGCGUGAACAAUUAUAGUAUUUGCAGUUUGAUUUUCGUUUUUAACAAUGCCUUCAACCAGACGUACAAGCUUAGGCCGCAGAACUCGAAAUACGGCAAGUCAAAGAAAUAUAAGAGCAAAUCAAACUGAUGAGCAACGCGAAGCGCGAAAUGAACUUGAACGGAAUCGAUAUGAAGAUAGAAAUUUUGUGUUUAAUCCCCACACAGCUGCAUUCAGUUAUAAUGUGGCAAUUGAUUACAAUUUUCUGCGAAAAUUGUUGCUAUUGGACAAGUGAGAAUUGUGUGUCCACAUUGCAAGGCAUUGAAAUUGAAAAAUUAAGGCCCUGGAUGACGCCAUUGGUACCGCAACCAGAGCCACUACGUUCAUUGGUAUCUGGAAUUGGUCCAGAUUCUUAUCAUUUUUUGACUCAUAUCCAGCAGUACAAUAAUUGCUUUCAAAUGUCAUCAUUUGGGGCAACAAAGGUUAUUCGAGACAAUUUUAUGCCUACUUUCAAAGUCUUCUACCUAUAGCUGUCAUGGAAGGCUGUUCAAUGUCGAAGUUUAAAGUAGUUUUAAUUUGAAAUGAUGUAAAGUAUUGUGGCAGUAUUUUGCAAGCCACAUGGCGGUAAAAUUUGCUAUACAAUUACCUGUAUAUAUAUUUAUGUAUAUUCUUGCAGAUUCAGGGUCAAAUAUAUCAUCGAACAGGUUCCUUAUUGCCAGUGCCUGAUCAAGACUGUAAAUUUUUGCAAAAAUAUUUUAUGGGCAAUCCAUUUUAUGGAAAUACAUUUUAUGGAAAUACAUUAAAACA